UACGUAGGGCGCAAGCGUUGUCCGGAAUUAUUGGGCGUAAAGAGCUCGUAGGUGGCUUGUCACGUCGGGUGUGAAAGCUUGGGGCUUAACUCCAGGUCUGCAUUCGAUACGGGCUGGCUAGAGGUAGGUAGGGGAGAACGGAAUUCCUGGUGUAGCGGUGAAAUGCGCAGAUAUCAGGAGGAACACCGGUGGCGAAGGCGGUUCUCUGGGACGGUACUGACGCUGAGACGCGAAAGCGUGGGGAGCGAACAGG
rnacentral:rRNA from 1 species